AAUAUGCUGUUAGACAAAAGGCUAACCUGGUUAGAGAUACGGCCGUACAAGUGCAGAAAGAUUUGACCGCAUUGAGGGGGAUACUACAAUUCCAGGCGCGGAUUAAAUCGAAACUGGACUUAAAUUGCAAGUAAAUGGAGUAACGCCUACAUCUAAGAAGAUUUCCACAAACUUACAAAAAUGACGUAGACACAAUAAAACAAAUUUUAAUAUCACAAAUAUAUUUAUUGUAUUAUUGUA